UGGAUAAAGAAAAAAGUUUACAUUUUUAGCAAGUUAGAGUUAAGAAUUCACACAUUUUGAAAAUAUCCUGAUUCAGUGAAGUCUUCAAACGUGAGAAAGAUGAAUAACAUGAAUAUUUUAGUUUUGGUUGCACUUCGUUUGUCUUCAACUCUUGGAAAUCUAGGUUGUCUAUUUGUCAAACACAGUGAAAGUGACGAGAGAGCAAAGGCUUCUGUUUAGAAUCUACAAUAUAAGAAAGUUUUAUGAUCUGGAAAGUACUUAUUUGCCCCCUUUGCUUUCUGCUUCAUCCACGUGGAUGCCUUGGUUGUAAUUCUAUGUUCUGCUCACUUCACGUUUCCUUUUCUCACUUCUACUUUAUGUGCCUAGGGUUGCUUCUAUUUUGAAAAAUUGUUCUCUCUCUUACUCUUCCUCUUCCUCUUUCUUUUGUCUCUAUUUCUCUGAUAUCGUUCUUCUUUUGAUUUAUGUGCAGAUGAAUAUGAUGUUGAUGGUGACGAUGAACACGUUUGCUGAUGAUAUCGUGAUGUUGAUUUUUAACCGUUGAUGGUUGUUGCUAAGGGUUACGGUCGAGAAAUUGAUGAUGAUGUUGGUGACGCUCAAAGUCACAGCAAAUCGGUGAGAUCUUUCUUUGUUUUUCGUGUUUUGAGUUCUCUAAUUUCUCUUCUUCUCUCAAUAUUUUCUGAAGGGUUUGUGUAAAAAAUGAGGAAGAUGAUGAUAAAAUAGGGUUUCAUGAACGUUAGUGUUGUAUCCCAUUUACUGAAUAUGAACUGAGUUCUUUUUCUUUCUUCUCAUAGUUUUUGGAAAAUUUGUAUACAUGAUGAUGAUGAUGGAAUUUUAGGGUUUUGGUUUUGUAUUCUGCUACAGUGAAAAUUGUGAAUCAGAUUCUCUUUACUGUGAACCAAAGUUUAUUUGUGAUUUGUAGUAAAGAUUAGACCCAUGAUUUGAAUUAUUCCCCUUAAAAAUUCUGAUUCCUUCACAUAAACUCUAAUGAUGAAUUAUGAAUCUUCUAUUGUUGUUGUUUGGAACUUAAUUGAAUUUCAUGUUUGUGUUUGUUUUGCAGAGUGACUGUGGAUAAUUCUUCAAGUAGAACAACCACUUUGAUAAAGGCACCUAUGGUCAAAGAACCCCUAUCUUCCUCCCAUACAUCCCCCUAACGGCACUGAGAAAUUCACUAUCAACGUUUACUCACCUAGUAGAUGUUAUUUGAAGCUUUCUUAUGGUUUCUUUAUAUUUGCUGCUUAGAAAUGGAACACUCACUGGAUUCGCCUUAUUCAAAAGUGGCCCUUCAAAGUCUUCAAAGCGAAAGAUGUGAAGCGUGUCGAUAGAGCAUACGCGCGCUCCACCUUUGUUGUGGCAGUCCCUAAAUCAUAUGUUUCAAUUGCGAUUUACUCAGGGGUAGUUCCACAACAGUUUCAUGUGUUUGUCUAGGUUCUUCGGUGCGUCUUUUUGGACAUGUAUGCUUUGAAUAUUUAUUAAGUUUGGUUUGUCCCUUUAGUUUUGAAAAAUUUUAUAUCAACAGACAAUACCCUUCACUGCAGAACUGCGGCAGUUUGACAUAGCAGAUCAAAGAAAGUUAUUAUUUUUUGUGGCUUCAUUGAAAUUGAUAAUAUAUUUUGGGUUUGAUUUACAUGUUUUAUAUUUAUUAGUGUAUGAGGAAUGUGGUGGAUGUAAUUGGUUUUGCACUAUGACUAUCAAUGGAUGGAAAAUGAUGAUUCCCCUUGCCUUCUUUGUCGGUACCGGGUAGGCUAUUUUUACUACUUUUUGAAACAUAAACUACAGCUUUUUAUUGGUCAAUUAAAGUUGAGCUCGAUCAGCUGGUCACCUAAUUAUAAGGGUGCGGGUGACGAACGAAAUUGGAGCGGGAAAAGGAAAAUCAGCAAAAUUUGCAAUGCAAGUAUCUGUGAUACAAUCAACAGUGGUUGGAUUAGUCUUCUGGGUUCUAAUAAUGAUAUUCCAAAGACAGAUUGUAUACAUUUUCACCUUAAGCCCUUAUGUUCUUCAAGUUGUUAACGAUAUGUCAAUCCUCUCGGCAAUCACCAUUCUUCUCAAUAGUGUUCACAAUGUUCUAUUAGGUAAAAAGGACCCAUUCUUCAAAUAUGUGAAUCCUCUUGACAGUUUGCAUACACUUUCUCAUUCAUCCUGGGCAUUUUUUUACUUACAUGCUGGUCAUAAUUGUUUUGGGUCUGAUUACUAUUUUAUUUAAGAAAAUAUGUGUGAAAAAAUGCUUUAUCUGUGUGCACGUAUCUAUGAACCAAAAGGAAUCAAUGUUCCCAAACCUAUCCAAACUGUUUGUACUAGAUGGGGUAGUGAUCCCUUCUUCUUUGGUUCUUACUCUAAUGUUGCAGUUGGAGCUUCUGGUGGAGAUUAUGAUGUUUUAGUUGAAAGUGUGGGAGAUGGUAGACUUUUCUUUGUUGGAGAAGCAACCAAUAGGCGUUAUCCUGCUACUAUGCAUGGGGCUUUUCUAAGUGGUCUACGAGAAGCAAGAAAUAUGGCCCACCAUGCUAAUAAUUGAUCAAUGAAUGUGAAGGUUGAAAAGUCUCCUUCAAAUGCUCAUACCUGUGCUUCCCUUCUUGCAGAUUUAUUUAAAUGAGAUUGAAUCACCUUUGCGAAAAGCUAGGAGUGAAGCUGGUGGGAACAAAAGGAUUGGGGCUGAAUGCUGAUUCUUUCAUUGCUUCUAUUAAAGCCGAGAGGGGAAAUCGUGAACCUGUUUUAACUUCUAUGUCUCUUAAACUAGAGAACAUAUGCAAGGCUGCUUUGGGAUUCAGGUUGGAAACCUCCCUGAUGCACAGAUUUUGGGAUUCAACAAUGGCCUUAUCUCCAAAUGACGAUGAUGGCGAAACUUGGAGUGUGAACUCCUUCAAAUAGGUUCUGAUGGAGGAGAAAUAGGGAAAUCGGCUCCUUAUUCGUCUGCAAGCAUGCCCUAUACUUUUCCUUCAAAGUACAAGAUAAGAAGGGCAGAAUGCAUAGAUUUACAUGUGGUAUGCAAACUAUCACAUGUUAUCUGUUAAAUCAUUGUCUAUAUUUCAUCUAUUUGUUUGUACUGCAACAUGUUAUAAAUAAUGGUAUUUGUUAAAACAAAAGCACAUGAGUAAGGGUUUUAGUAUAUGGUUUUUGAUGGGUCUCGGGUCUAACCGCAAUGUCAUAUGCGUAUCCUAUUCACAUGAAACCGAUACAUGGACUCCAAUAAGUAAUGGGCUGGUCAACGGAUGGCGUAAUCUGAGUAUCUCACUGAUUGGACAACUCUAUGCAGUUGAUUUCCAGGACGGCUGCCAGCUCUAAGUGUCUGAUCUCUGGCAUGUUAAUGUUGUACAUGUUUUUCACAUUUCAGUCGAGUUGCCCGAGAUAUGUUUGAUUCGUGUCAUGCAGCUGGCAAGUUAGAGAACAACAAAAUAAGUUGGAGAGGGGAUUCGGCUCUUAAGGAUGGAAAGCAAGUAAAAAUAGAUCUUUCCAAAUGAAUGUUUGAUGUUGGAGAUAAUAUGAAGUUUGGUUUUCCAAUGGCUUUUACUGCAUUUGUACUAUCAUGGGAGAUUCUGGAAUAUGGAGAGCAAAUAGAUGUCGUUGGACAGUUGGAACCAGUUCUAGAUUUGCUAAAAUGGAUACCUGAUUAUCUCAUCGCUUAAAUGGAUGCUGUUUGCUUUUAUGAAAAAUUUCAAUACCCAAAUUCUAGUUUAUUCUAUUUGGAAAUUUACUUAUAUUUCUCAUGUUCUGUAGUUGGAUUUGUGCAGCUGUGGGAUGAUUAUCAAGGUAAAACUCAUUGAGUUGGACGUGCCUCUGAUAUCUAUAUCUCUUAAUUUGUGUUUAUUAUUCUUCCCAUCCAUACAUUCUCCAUGAUUUUCAGUUCAAUUUACUCUUUGGUUUGAAGGCUAAUUUGAAUAACCUUUUAUUGUGAAUUUACUCUUUGAUUUAAAGGCUAAUUUGAUUAAUCUUUCAUUGUGAACCCGCUCUUGAUUUGAAGGCUAAUUGAUUAAAAGAAAGAUGUUGCUUCUGCAGCUACUGCUACUAACAACAUUAGAGGAGGCCAAUGCUACUGAAUCCAUAAUAAGAAAUUUAAGGAUCUAUUUACAAUUGGAUUUGGUUGGAUAAUUUUUGGCGGGCUACCAUUUGAUUUUGAGAGUACUCUUGUACUACUGUCUGUUUCUGUCUUUAAGGGUGAAGAGAACUGAUGUAAUGGGGACGUCAUGAUUUAGGCGUGUGCGUUUCGUCGGCAUUGGAGCUUCGCAUGGAGGACGAAGAUUGUGUCCGCAAUGGUGUCAAGAGCUAUUUCGGCUAAUGCAGAGGAAAAAAAAGGUCUCCACUGCAACAGUCUUGGCUCCAUGGGCGGAUGCACCUUGUGGCAUUAUGUGGCUAAAGCCACACCAUAAUUUUACCAUUAUUUUAUCAAUGUUCUAUGUUGUAACCAAACAUGUAUGCAUUAUUGCCUACAAAUCUUUCCACUUAAUAUAAGAUCUAUUUUGUUAGCAAUCACUAAUCGAUCCAAAUAAGAAGACCAAGGACUGA